AAUGGUUUUCUUCUUCUUUCAGGACUUUUCUUUUCACAUAGCUUCCAUGGUUGGAGAAUCUUUUUACAUCUACUAUAGAACCUUAGUUUAUUGCAGAAGAUUCUAGGUUGUUUUCUAGGCUGCACAGUCAAUUUACACAAAUCCCUGACAAAUCAGGAUCAUUAUUGUAUCCAGUGCAUGGGCUUUGGAAUGGACUGUGUUCUAAACAAAGAGCUGACAUUUAAACACAUUACAAGGAACGAAACAAGGUACAGAGCACUUCAUUAUAUGCACGCUCAGAAACCCUUAAACGGAUGAGGCAGCUAUUUGCAUCUGAUAGGAGCUAAGUGGGACAUUAAAUUAAUGCCAAACAAGUAAGUGCUCAUUUUGGUUUCAUUAUAAAUGGCUGCAGUACAGCAGUAAUGUGUUGACUCUUAUGUGCUGACAACUUCUAUAUUUCUUCUAAACUUCCCUGAGAGCUAGACAUGAAGGAAUAAAUUGCUACUCUAGAUGAUAAAAUUAGCAGGAGAUAUAUUCACAAUAAUUGCACAUAGGUCUCCAAAAAUACACCAAAGUCUGAAAAAAGGU